rnacentral:rRNA from 1 species
GACGUAGGGGGCGAGCGUUAUCCGGAAUUACUGGGCGUAAAGAGCUCGUAGGUGGAUUUGUAAGUCCGGGAGCAAACGUCCCCGCUCAACGGGGUCAUCAUUCCGGAUACUGCAUGUCUUGAGGACAGGAGGGGAAAGUGGAAUUUCCAGUGUAGCGGUGAAAUGCGUAGAGAUUGGAAAGAACACCGGUGGCGAAGGCGUCUUUCUGGCCUGUAUCUGACACUGAGGAGCGAAAGUCAGGGGAG